rnacentral:rRNA from 1 species
CCUACGGGGGGCAGCAGUGAGGAAUAUUGGUCAAUGGACGAGAGUCUGAACCAGCCAAGUAGCGUGAAGGAUGACUGCCCUAUGGGUUGUAAACUUCUUUUAUAUGGGAAUAAAAUGUUCCACGUGUGGGAUUUUGUAUGUACCAUAUGAAUAAGGAUCGGCUAACUCCGUGCCAGCAGCCGCGGUAAUACGGAGGAGCCGAGCGUUAUCCGGAUUUAUUGGGUUUAAAGGGAGCGUAGGUGGAUUGUUAAGUCAGUUGUGAAAGUUUGCGGCUCAACCGUAAAAUUGCAGUUGAAACUGGCAGUCUUGAGUACAGUAGAGGUGGGCGGAAUGCGUGGUGUAGCGGUGAAAUGCUUAGAUAUCACGAAGAACUCCGAUUGCGAAGGCAGUUCACUGGACUGCAACUGACACUGAGGCUCGAAAGUGUGGGUAUCAAACAGGAUUAGAUACCCCAGUAGUC